rnacentral:rRNA from 1 species
GACAGAGGUCCCGAGCGUUAGGCGGAAUCACUGGGCUUAAAGCGUGUGUAGGCGGAUCGUUAAGUGCCUUGUGAAAUCCCACGGCUUAACCGUGGAACUGCUUGGCAUACUGGCGGUCUUGAGCCACUUAGGGCAACCGGGAACAAAUGGUGGAGCGGUGAAAUGCGUAGAUAUCAUUUGGAACGCCAAUGGUGAAAACAGGUUGCUGGGAGUGUGCUGACGCUGAGACACGAAAGCCAGGGGAGCGAACGGG